rnacentral:tRNA from 1 species
GCCGAAGUGGCGGAAUUGGCAGACGCGCACGACUCAAAAUCGUGUGUGGUGAUCCCACGUGCCGGUUCAAGUCCGGCCUUCGGCACCA